GUACUAGACCGGACUAACAGUAAAACCAGGCCCAGAUCCAAGCUGAGAAUUGAAGGUGUUUUCCAUCCAGCCCUUGAACUUGUGUCCUGGUUAUUUGUCACUAAAUGUUAACUUCCUGAAUAUUUUUUUUUCUGACCUUUUUUCUCAUGUUAUUCCCUUCCCGCUAUUGAGGAACCCUCCGUUUCCUCUCAAAAUCCAGAGUUUAGGAAGAUAUUUAGCGCUCAUCUAUCAAGGAACCCACUUAGCAUUUACACGAUGCACAGUUGACAUUUGGGAAGUGCUUUUUAGGCAAGAGGGCAAACUGAUUGCAGGUCCUGCUUGCUGUUGGAGUGACCCUCUUGGUUUUCAUAUCUUCGUUAUCUCUCCUGGGACUUCAUGUCAUUCCCCCAAACUUCCCAUACCAUCGGAGGUCAUUCUUUGCUCUUUCUUUCAUUGCCAGCUUCCUGGUAUGGCCGCUGAGUGCCUUGUGUUUACAGCCCUGAGUUUAAAUUUGGCUGGGUUAAUGCGAGGUUUAUUUAAGAACAUCCAGCAAUGGUUAAAUUGAAAAUGAGACAUAUGGGAGAAGAAGGAAGGGAAAAAAUAGAUAAAGGGUCAGAAAUUCAGAGAAAGAUAAUAGUCAGAGAAUUUAAGUCCCUGGCAGCCGGUGAUCAGCAACCUUCCCAGGCCUUGAGUUGGUCAAGUGUGUCAGCACCUCCUACCGAGUGGUUGCUUGUAGAAUAUUCUUCUUGGUGGUGUACAGCAAGGAGCAGGGGAGAGGAAACCCAAGAAAGGAAAGAAAACCUUUCUGUUUAGAUUUUUUUUUUUUCUGCUUUUUAGGUCCACUUGUCAUAUGGAGGUUCCCAGGCUAGGGGUUGAAUCAGAGCUAUAGCUGCCGGUCUACACCACAGCCACAGCAACGCGGGAUCCGAGCCUUGUCUGCGACCUACGCCACAGCUCACGGCAACGCCGGAUCCUUAACCCACUGAGCAAGGGCAGGGAUCGAACCCGCAACCUCAUGGUUCCUAGUCGGAUUCGUUAACCACUGAGCCACGACAGGAAUUCCCGAAUUCCCACAUGUUGCAGGUGUGGUCCUGAGAAGACAAACAAAACAAAAAACCCAAAUCACAGAGCUAAUUUGUUUAGAUGAGGGGGGCGGAGAAGAGGCUAGAACUAGAUCAAGACCCCUCAACCCGUCACUCAUCCUGCCUCACAGACUGAGCGCUGAAGGAACCUCUCAUCUCAAUGCCUUUCUUAGUUCUGGGCUUACCCAGUUGAGGGGUGGUGGGGUGUGGAGUUUUGAGGGUGGGUCCCUUGGGGAGAAGGUUCUGGAGUGACCAGGAAGGAAGGUCUUAUUUCAGCCGAAGCCCCCUCCCUGGCUCUGGCUCUGCGACAGAGUUGGAGCAGGGGGGCUGCUGGGGAGAGUGGAAGCCGUUUCUUCUGCCACCAUGUGGGCCCUCGCUGGUGUCCGUGGUGCGCCACUGGGCCGAUUUCAUGCGUCGCUUGUCCCCUGGUGCACUGCUGGCCCAAUCGGACGCUCCCCCCCAUGGGAUUCGGCCAUGGAUGCUUCCCUGCUCCCCCUCCGUCUCAGGUUUUCUGCAGACCCAUCCCAAGUCCUGUUCUCACUCUCAUCCCCUCAGCAGACAUCCCUGCCCCACAGCCUCGAGGACAAAGCCCUGCCAGCCUCAUCCACGGGCUUGCUCCCCCCUGCGCUGUGUCUGUCCCCCGUGUCUCCUGGCUUGUGUGUGCGGCUUGUGUGUGCGCCUGUGUUUCUAGACGAAUGGAGAAAACCCACUGCUCUUCUGUGCGGCUAAAUCUGCUUUCCCCAAACCCUCCUCUGUCUCAAAGUUCACUUUUCCCUCCCACCCCCUCUGAGCCGGGGGGUGUGGGGCUUGUCCAGUCCCCCUUGUUCCGUUAUAGAAGGGUGUCUUUAUUCAAUUUGACUGUGGCUAUUAUGUGGCGAAACAUUCAAUAAAAGUCGUGAUUUAUGAGAUGUGUGCGGUGGCUCGGUUCUUCGUUUUCUUCUUGUUCUGCUGCUGCUUUUUUCUUUUUGUCCCCCCUGCUUUGUCAUCUAUCAGGAAGAGAAAAGCCAGGCCUGAUAAUUUCUUGGCACAUCCUGUGUUCACUUAAGAAUGUCAGCUGUCGGGCCCGUCAGGAAGUUGUUUCUCGGAGGAGGGGUGUCUCCCUCCUUUUCACCUCUCCUGCGGUCCCCCCUCUUUAAGCACAGGCAGAGGCCCUGCUCCGUCCUGCAGGCUGGCGAUAAGGGGGAGGCGGGGCGCUGCGGGGAGAGGAGUGGGGACCCCCGAUGUGGCCCUAGCAGUUGGGGGGGGGGCUUCGCCCUCCUCCGCCGCCGCGUGUCCGGAGCUCUGUCAGCUCUUGAUUGCUUAAUAGGAAGCACCAGGCAGGGUCCUUUCAGGAGGUUUCCAGAAUUUUCUUUGUUCUUGAAUACAGCCCCCCGCCCCCCCAAAUCCUCUUAAUUUUUUUGGCCUGGCCACUUUAGAAAUCCUUCCCCUUUUCUUUUUUUGUAGAGUAUGUGCCUGCUUGAUAAAAGGCUCUUGAAUAGAGGGCCUCGCAUAGUGGGUCUUGGCGGCUGGAAAAUAGGCUAAUUGGAGAUCGAAGCAACUUGUCACAAAGGUGCCCGUGGCGGGGGGUGGGGAGGAGGAGGGUCCCCGGGAGAUGCCAGGUUGACUUCUCCACCUCUCCCCUCCUCCUGCUUGUGUUAUUAGCUGUUUGCCGAAAUGCAUCCGAGGCUGUGCGGAGCCCUGCAGGAGCGUUACCCCAGUUGUGCCCUGCAUCUUAAGCGCCUGGUUAAGGCCUCCAUUCUGUGCCUGGAAUGGUUCCAUGCUGAGCCCCCAGAGAAUGCAGAAAUCCAUCUUUAACCCGCAGUGGGUGGCCUGGGAGGGGCCGAGGAAAGCUGGCCUGCUUGGACCCCAUGGUGUCGCAGUGACAGCUUCUGGGGGGGCGAGCCACCCAGACUGGUGUGUGGGUCACCGGUGCCAGCAGGUAGAAGGAAGCUCGCAGACCCACACCAUCCGGGCCUCCUAAUGGGGAGAGGGGAGUGGGAGCCAGCAGGAUGGCCGAGGCGGGAGCUAGGCAACGUGAAGGCUUUUAGACUUGCGGGCAGGGGGUGUGGGGAAUGUGGCAGCCUAAGAGGUUCAUCUGUGAGCCCCCCAGCCCCUGACUCUGAGCAUGGGUGGGGUUUUCUUUCCAGUUGCUUACAAUCCCGGGGAAGGGGGGGCGGUGUUCUGCUUUUGGGAGCUCCCUGGAUCCUUUAAAUUUGAGUGUUGCGUCCCUCCAAGGGUAAUUAGUGGCCUCAUAGCUGCUCCUGCCACGUGUCCCUUCCCUCGUUUCUAUUUCUGCUGCCGUCAUCCAUCAAGACCUCUCAUUCUAGUUCCAUGUGGCGUCUCUCGGAUCGCGCCUCUGCUCCCAGACUUCCACGCACCCUGCUGCCCAAGGGGUCUAGACCCAUCUUCUAGGAUCCCAGAGCUGGAAGUCCAGUCUCCUCAACCUUCCUGCCUCAAGUCUCCCAGGGCACCGGGCACCUCUGCUUUAAGGCGUAUGCCCUUGAGCCCCUCUGCGUGUGGGCCCGCCCUCUCCAGGCUUCUAGAGUGACCUCCCUUUCUCUUGCCUGGAAAAUGUUUAGGCAGGAGUUCCCACUGUGGUGCAGUGGGAUCAGCGGUGUCUUGGGAGGGCUGGGAUGCAGCUUCGAUCCCCAGCUGGAUGCAGUGGGUUCAGGAGCCAGCGUUGCUGUAGCUGUGACUUGGAUUGCAACUGCAGCUUGGAUCUGAUCCCUGGCCUGGGAACUC
rnacentral:lncRNA from 1 species